rnacentral:rRNA from 1 species
GAACGCGAAAGGGGGCUUCGGCUCCCGAGUAGAGUGGCGCACGGGUGAGUAACGCGUGGAUAAUCUGCCCUCUUGUUCGGGAUAACUGCUGGAAACGGCAGCUAAUACCGGAUAAGCUCCCCCAAUUGUUUGAGGGAGGAAAGGAGGCCUCUUCAUGAAAGCUUCCGCGAGGGGAUGAGUCCGCGUCCCAUUAGCUAGUUGGUGAGGUAACGGCCCACCAAGGCAACGAUGGGUAGCCGGUCUAAGAGGAUGACCGGCCACACUGGAACUGAAACACGGUCCAGACUCCUACGGGAGGCAGCAGUGGGGAAUAUUGCGCAAUGGACGAAAGUCUGACGCAGCGACGCCGCGUGAGGGAUGAAGGUUUUCGGAUCGUAAACCUCUGUCAGGAGGGAAGAAAGCGCAUGGCGCCAAUCAGCCAUGCGUUGACGGUACCUCCAAAGGAAGCGCCGGCUAACUCCGUGCCAGCAGCCGCGGUAAUACGGAGGGCGCGAGCGUUAAUCGGAAUUACUGGGCGUAAAGCGCGCGUAAGCCUGUUGUGUAAGUUGGGGGUGAAAUCCCACGGCUCAACCGUGGAACAGCCCUUGAUACUGCGCGACUUGAAUCCGGGAGAGGGUGGCGGAAUUCCAGGUGUAGGAGUGAAAUC